rnacentral:rRNA from 1 species
GUCGCGUGCGCGUUUCCGUAGCAAUACGGAAGUGGCGCACGGCGCACGGGUGCGUAACACGUGGGCAAUCUGCCCUCCGAUGGGGAAUAACCCCGCGAAAGCGGGGCUAAUACCGCAUAACAUUCCUUGGACUUUGGUUUGAGGAUUCAAAGCAGUAAUGCGUCGGAGGAGGAGCCCGCGCCCGAUUAGCUAGUUGGUGAGGUAACGGCUCACCAAGGCAAUGAUCGGUAGCUGGUCUGAGAGGAUGAUCAGCCACACUGGAACUGAGACACGGUCCAGACUCCUACGGGAGGCAGCAGUGGGGAAUCUUGCGCAAUGGGCGAAAGCCUGACGCAGCGACGCCGCGUGGGGGAUGAAGCUUCUCGGAGUGUAAACCCCUUUCGACUGGGACGAAUGCCCGCAAGGGAGUGACGGUACCAGUAGAAGAAGCCCCGGCUAACUACGUGCCAGCAGCCGCGGUAAGACGUAGGGGGCCAGCGUUGUUCGGAAUUACUGGGUGUAAAGGGUUCGUAGGCGGUGUGGCAAGUCGGGAGUGAAAUCUCUGGGCACAACUCAGAGGCUGCUUCCGAAACUGCUGUGCUUGAGUGUGGGAGAGGCGCGUGGAAUUGCAGGUGUAGCGGUGAAAUGCGUAGAUAUCUGCAGGAACACCCGUGGCGAAAGCGGCGCGCUGGACCACAACUGACGCUGA